GUCCACGCCCUAAACGAUGCUAACUGGACGUUGGGAGCAAUUAGGCUCUCAGUGUCGAAGCUAACGCGUUAAGUUCGCCGCCUGUGGAGUACGGUCGCAAGACUGAAACUCAAAGGAAUUGACGGGGGCCCCGCACAAGCGGUGGAGUAUGUGGUUUAAUUCGAUGCAACGCGCAGAACCUUACCUGGCCUUGACAUCCACGGAAUCCUUGAGAGAUCAGGGAGUGCCUUCGGGAACCGUGAGACAGGUGCUGCAUGGCUGUCGU
rnacentral:rRNA from 1 species